UACGAAGGGGGCUAGCGUUGUUCGGAUUUACUGGGCGUAAAGCGCACGUAGGCGGAUCGAUCAGUCAGGGGUGAAAUCCCAGGGCUCAACCCUGGAACUGCCUUUGAUACUGUCGAUCUGGAGUAUGGAAGAGGUGAGUGGAAUUCCGAGUGUAGAGGUGAAAUUCGUAGAUAUUCGGAGGAACACCAGUGGCGAAGGCGGCUCUCUGGGCCACUACUGACGCUGAGAAGCGAAAGCAUGGGGAGCGAACAGG
rnacentral:rRNA from 1 species